rnacentral:rRNA from 1 species
GCAUAUCAAUAAGCGGAGGAAAAGAAACUUACAAGGGAUUCCCUUAGUAAUGGAUAGCGAACCAGGAAUAGCUCAGCCUUAAAAUCGUCCGGCUUCGUCGUUCGAAUUGUAGUCUAGAGAAGCAUCCUCAGUAGCAGACAGGGUUCAAGUCCCCUGAAGGGGGUGACAAAGAUUGUGAGAGCCUCGUUGUGCCCAGACCCUGUCAUACCAUGAGGUGAUGUUGACGAGUCAGAUUGUUUGGGAAUGCAGCCCAAAUCAGACGGUGAAUUUCAUCCAAGGCUAACUAUGGGCGAGAGGCUGAUAGCAAAUAAGUACCGCAAGGGAAAGAUUAAAAGAACUUUGAAAAUAGAGUCAAAGAGUGCUUGAAAUUUUUAGGAGAAAAGCGAAUAGGAACCGCGAUGCACCCCAGUCGGAUGUGGAACGACGACGAUCCAGUCUGCCGAUCGACUCGGGGCAUGGACCAGCAUGGAUUGGGGGGAGUACAAAGCCCGAGCUCUCUAUACCCUCGAAGAAAUCUGUCUCCUUGAUUGUGGUAGGCAGCGUGCACCUCUAGCGUACUUCGACAUCUGCGCGCUCCAGA